GGCCUCCUGAUGCUUUCCACAGGCUGUGUUCUCAAACUGAUUGUAUAGAAAUAGGAAGCAGAGUAAAACUACCCCAUAUACCCUUCAGCUCAGGCCCUUUCCCUGGUCUGAAUUGUGAAUGGGGAGACACUG